rnacentral:ncRNA from 1 species
GCCUACCAAAACGGUCGUACGGAUACAGCACAAAACUAAUCGUUUAUGAAAUAUCACUAAUUAUUAGGUCGACAACGUAUCCUGUUCUAUUGCGAGAAGAAAGACAGUUUGGUAGUAGCACUGGCGGCAACGCUGGUGCAAGGAG